AAUCAACGUUGGCGGCGCGCUUAACACAUGCAAGUCGAGCGAGAAAGUGUAGCAAUACAUGAGUAAAGCGGCAGACGGGUGAGUAACACGUGGGUAUCCACUCUUUGGUGGGGAAUAACUCUGGGAAACCGGAGCUAAUACCGCAUAAGUCCGAGAGGAGAAAGGCGAAAGUCGCCGAAGAAGGAGCCCGCGGCUGAUUAGCUAGUUGGUGAGGUAAUGGCUCACCAAGGCGUAGAUCGGUAGCCGGCCUGAGAGGGCACACGGCCACACUGGCACUGAGACACGGGCCAGACUCCUACGGGAGGCAGCAGUGGGGAAUCUUGCACAAUGGGGGAAACCCUGAUGCAGCGACGCCGCGUGAACGAUGAAGCCCUUCGGGGUGUAAAGUUCUUUCGGCAGGAACGAUAAUGACGGUACCUGAAGAAGAAGCUGCGGCUAACUACGUGCCAGCAGCCGCGGUAAUACGUAGGCAGCAAACGUUGUUCGGAGUUACUGGGCGUAAAGAGUACGUAGGCGGUUUGCCAAGUUUGGUGUGAAAUCUCCUGGCUUAACUGGGAGGGUGCGCCGAAUACUGGCAGACUUGAGUAUUGGAGAGGAAAGCGGAAUUCCUGGUGUAGCGGUGAAAUGCGUAGAUGCCAGGAGGAACACCGGUGGUGUAGACGGCUUUCUGGACAAUCACUGACGCUGAGGUACGAAAGCGUGGGUAGCAAACAGGAUUAGAUACCCUGGU
rnacentral:rRNA from 1 species